rnacentral:rRNA from 1 species
AACGAACGCUGGCGGCAGGCCUAACACAUGCAAGUCGAGCGAGGACUUCGGUUCUAGCGGCGGACGGGGGAGUAACGCGUGGGAAUGUGCCCUUCUCUACGGAAUAGCCCUGGGAAACUGGGAGUAAUACCGGAUACGCCCUUUUGGGGGAAGAGUUAACGGAGAAGGAUCAGCCCGCGUUGGAUUAGGUAGUUGGGGGGGUAAUUGCCUACCAAGCCGACGAUACGUAGCUGGGUUGAGAGGAUGAUCAGCGACACUGGGACUGAGACACGGCCCAGAAUCCUACGGGAGGCAGCAGUGGGGAAUCUUAGACAAUGGGGGCAACCCUGAUCUAGCCAUGACGCGUGAGUGAUGAAGGCCGUAGGGUUGUAAAGCUCUUUAAGCUGGGAAGAUAAUGACGGUACCAGCAGAAGAAGCCCCGGCUAACUCCGUG